UACGUAGGGGGGCAAGCGUUGUCCGGAUUUAUUGGGCGUAAAGAGCGUGUAGGCGGCCAGACAGGUCAGCUGUGAAAACUCGAGGCUCAACCUCGAGACGUCGGUUGAAACCGUUUGGCUAGAGUCCGGAAGAGGAGAGUGGAAUUCCCGGUGUAGCGGUGAAAUGCGCAGAUAUCAGGAGGAACACCGGUGGCGAAGGCGGAUCUCUGGGCCUGUCCUGACGCUGAGACGCGAAAGCGUGGGGAGCAAACAGG
rnacentral:rRNA from 1 species